rnacentral:lncRNA from 1 species
CCCUUUACCUAUCUGGCAGAGAUAUUGGAUCCAGCAGUGUACCACAUAAUUCAAGCAAUGUAGAGACAGUUGCUGUUAAUAUGGACUUUAGUCCGUCAUUAGAUACAGGAAGAGAUAUCAGACCAGUCAGUGUUGAACCAGGCCCAAGCAAUACUGUCUCCACAGUUACUGUUAUUAAUGAUAUUGGUCCAUCUAUCAG